GAUGAAGACGUAGCGAAAUGCGAUAAGUAAUGUGAAUUGCAGAAUUCAGUGAAUCAUCGAAUCUUUGAACGCACCUUGCGCCCUUUGGCCAUUCCGAAGGGCAUGCCUGUUUGAGUAUCAUGAACACCUCAACUCUUCAUGGUUUUCCAUGAUGAGCUUGGACUUUGGGGGUCUUGCUGGCCUGUGGGUCGGCUCCUCUCAAAUGAAUCAGCUUGCCGGUUUUUGGUGGGCAUCACAGGUGUGAUAACUAUCUACGCUUGUGGUUUUCCACCAGGGUAACCUUCAGCAGUGGAGGUUCACUGGAGCUUACAAAUGUCUCUCCUCUGUGAGGACAGCCCUUUGAAUGUUUGAUCUCAAAUCAGGUAGGACUACCCGCUGAACUUAAGCAUAUCAAUAAGCGGAGGA
rnacentral:misc_RNA from 1 species